GCUUGUUGCGGGGUCGGAAUUAUUGGGUUUACCUUAUGGUAAUUUUCUUGAUGCUAGGUCUUCAAAGAAACCUGCAUUUUAGCAUCGUCUUUCUAGAGAACGGCAAAUUCAUUGGCAAUCGUCGUCGACUUCUCCGGUGAGGAUCACGUGCCACUGAUUACAGUUGAUGCUGCUCUUCUGCUACACUUUCUCAUAUUCUUUUUAGCAGUCUGUCUUGUGCUAUACAGUGCAGUAACAAUGAUGCUUGGAAAGCUGAAGUUUUCUUUACUCAGCCCUGUUGCUGACUGAUCUGCUCCUACUGACUGAUCUUCU